UACGUAGGGUGCAAGCGUUAUUCGGAAUUACUGGGCGUAAAGCGUGCGCAGGCGGUUAUGCAAGACAGAUGUGAAAUCCCCGGGCUUAACCUGGGAACCGCAUUUGUGACUGCAUAGCUGGAGUACGGCAGAGGGGGAUGGAAUUCCGCGUGUAGCAGUGAAAUGCGUAGAUAUGCGGAGGAACACCGAUGGCGAAGGCAGUCCCCUGGGCCUGUACUGACGCUCAUGCACGAAAGCGUGGGGAGCAAACAGG
rnacentral:rRNA from 1 species